rnacentral:rRNA from 1 species
GGCGAACGGUUGAGUAAUAUAUCGGAGCGUAGAAAGAGUGGGGGAUAACGUAGCGAAAGUUACGCUAAUACCGCAUACGAUCCAUGGAUGAAAGCAGGGGACCUUCGGGCCUUGUGCUCCUGGAGCGGCCGAUAUCUGAUUAGCUAGUUGGUGAGGUAAAGGCUCACCAAGGCGACAAUCAGUAGCUGGUCUGAGAGGACGACCAGCCACACUGGAACUGAGACACGGUCCAGACUCCUACGGGAGGCAGCAGUGGGGAAUUUUGGACAAUGGGCGAAAGCCUGAUCCACUUAUGAUUCGUGAGUGAAUAAGGCCUUCGGAUUGUAAAGCUCUUUUGUCAAGGAAGAAACGGCUGUGGCUAAUAUCCWYGGCUAAUGACGGUACCUGAAGAAUAAGCACCGGCUAACUACGUGCCAGCAGCCGCGGUAAUACGUAGGGUGCAAGCGUUAAUCAGAAUUACUGGGCGUAAAGCGUGCGCAGGCGGUUUUGUAAGUCUGACGUGAAAUCCCCAGGCUCAACCUGGGAAUUGCGUUGGAGACUGCUAGGCUAGAAUCUGGCAGAGGGGGGUAGAAUUCCACGUGUAGCAGUGAAAUGCGUAGAGAUGUGGAGGAACACCGAUGGCGAAGGCAGCCCCCUG